GAAAUGCGAUACGUAGUGUGAAUUGCAGAAUUCAGUGAAUCAUCGAAACCUUGAACGCACCUUGCGCUUGUGGUCACCCACAAGCAUGCCUGUUUGAGUGUCGUCAAUAUUUCUCACCACCAAGAGCCUCCCUGCUCUGGGAGGCUCGGCCGGGGAGGAGCUGAGCGUCUGCCAGUUCGGCAGUCGCUUGAAAUGGAGUGGGGACGAGAGCGGCGACUCGGCAAGCUCGAAUCGCUCCGCAGCCUGCGAGAUGUACUUGGCAUGCAAUGUCAUGAUUUUUACGCCUUGCGCUGAUUGGCGGCGGUACGAGAUCCCGUAACAUUCGCUGCGGCCCUCAAAAGGCUGCCUCCCCCCCCUCGGGUGACGGCGGCCAACUUUUCAAAACCUGCGACCUCAAAUC
rnacentral:misc_RNA from 1 species